rnacentral:rRNA from 1 species
UACGUAGGGUGCAAGCGUUGUCCGGAAUUAUUGGGCGUAAAGCGUGCGCAGGCGGUUGUGUAAGACAGAUGUGAAAUCCCCGGGCUCAACCUGGGGAACUGCAUUUGUGACUGCACGGCUGGAGUGCGGCAGAGGGGGAUGGAAUUCCGCGUGUAGCAGUGAAAUGCGUAGAUAUGCGGAGGAACACCGAUGGCGAAGGCAAUCCCCUGGGCCUGCACUGACGCUCAUGCACAAAGCGUGGGGAGCAAACAGG